rnacentral:rRNA from 1 species
UACGGGGGGGCAAGCGUUGUUCGGAAUUACUGGGCGUAAAGGGCUCGUAGGUGGCCAACUAAGUCAGACGUGAAAUCCCUCGGCUUAACCGGGGAACUGCGUCUGAUACUGGAUGGCUUGAGUUUGGGAGAGGGACGCGGAAUUCCAGGUGUAGCGGCGAAAUGCGUAGAUAUCUGGAGGAACACCGGUGGCGAAGGCGGCGUCCUGGACCAACACUGACACUGAGGAGCGAAAGCCAGGGGAGCAAACGGG